rnacentral:rRNA from 1 species
CAUGCAGUCGAGCGGACAGAUGGGAGCUUGCUCCCUGAUGUUAGCGGCGGACGGGUGAGUAACACGUGGGUAACCUGCCUGUAAGACUGGGAUAACUCCGGGAAACCGGGGCUAAUACCGGAUGGUUGUUUGAACCGCAUGGUUCAAACAUAAAAGGUGGCUUCGGCUACCACUUACAGAUGGACCCGCGGCGCAUUAGCUAGUUGGUGAGGUAACGGCUCACCAAGGCAACGAUGCGUAGCCGACCUGAGAGGGUGAUCGGCCACACUGGGACUGAGACACGGCCCAGACUCCUACGGGAGGCAGCAGUAGGGAAUCUUCCGCAAUGGACGAAAGUCUGACGGAGCAACGCCGCGUGAGUGAUGAAGGUUUUCGGAUCGUAAAGCUCUGUUGUUAGGGAAGAACAAGUACCGUUCGAAUAGGGCGGUACCUUGACGGUACCUAACCAGAAAGCCACGGCUAACUACGUGCCAGCAGCCGCGGUAAUACGUAGGUGGCAAGCGUUGUCCGGAAUUAUUGGGCGUAAAGGGCUCGCAGGCGGUUUCUUAAGUCUGAUGUGAAAGCCCCCGGCUCAACCGGGGAGGGUCAUUGGAAACUGGGGAACUUGAGUGCAGAAGAGGAGAGUGGAAUUCCACGUGUAGCGGUGAAAUGCGUAGAGAUGUGAGGAACACCAGUGGCGAAGGCGACUCUCUGGUCUGUAACUGACGCU